rnacentral:rRNA from 2 species
AGAGUUUGAUCAUGGCUCAGAGCGAACGCUGGCGGCAGGCCUAACACAUGCAAGUCGAACGGGCCCUUUCGGGGGUCAGUGGCAGACGGGUGAGUAACGCGUGGGAACGUGCCCUUCGGUUCGGAACAACUCCGGGAAACUGGAGCUAAUACCGGAUACGUCCGAGAGGAGAAAGAUUUAUCGCCGAAGGAUCGGCCCGCGUCUGAUUAGCUAGUUGGUGGGGUAAUGGCCCACCAAGGCGACGAUCAGUAGCUGGUCUGAGAGGAUGAUCAGCCACACUGGGACUGAGACACGGCCCAGACUCCUACGGGAGGCAGCAGUGGGGAAUAUUGGACAAUGGGCGCAAGCCUGAUCCAGCCAUGCCGCGUGAGUGAUGAAGGCCCUAGGGUUGUAAAGCUCUUUCACCCACGACGAUAAUGACGGUAGUGGGAGAAGAAGCCCCGGCUAACUUCGUGCCAGCAGCCGCGGUAAUACGAAGGGGGCUAGCGUUGCUCGGAAUCACUGGGCGUAAAGGGCGCGUAGGCGGCCGAUCAAGUCAGGGGUGAAAGCCUGUGGCUCAACCACAGAAUUGCCUUUGAUACUGUUUGGCUGGAGACCGGAAGAGGUUGGUGGAACUGCGAGUGUAGAGGUGAAAUUCGUAGAUAUUCGCAAGAACACCGGUGGCGAAGGCGGCCAACUGGUCCGGUUCUGACGCUGAGGCGCGAAAGCGUGGGGAGCAAACAGGAUUAGAUACCCCGGUAGUCC